GAUGAACGUUAGCGGGAGGCUUAACACAUGCAAGUCGAGCGGUAAGUUUUUAUAGCAAUAUGAAGACCUAGAGCGGCGCACGGGUGAGUAACGCGUACACGACCUGGCCUAAACUGGGGGAUAGCCUUGGGAAACUGAGAGUAAUCCCGCAUGUGAUUAUGUUACUGAUGGUGAUAUAAUUAAAGCUUCGGCGGUUUAGGAUGGGUGUGCGUCUGAUUAGCUAGUUGGUAGUGUAACGGACUACCAAGGCGAUGAUCAGUAGGGGGCGUGAGAGCGUGACCCCCCACACGGUACGUNAGACAC
rnacentral:rRNA from 1 species